GUGUGUUGAUAAGAAACCCGGCUAAGCAAGCUGGUUGCCAUUUUGCAGAUUGGAGUCAUCUGGCGCACAUGUUAAUUGAAUCUAGGAGGAUCUGCAGGACAAAGGCAUAAUGCUCCCUUUUUUUCAAUUUUCAUGAAGUUAGAAUUUUUUUUUGGAUGAAGGCACGGAUUAGUGACCACUUGGCACAGAAAUAUGUUUGUGUUGCGGCUUGUGAAUCCAGGACCAUUUCUCUGCCUGUAGUUUUGCAUGGUAGAACUAGAUGGGCAACAACAAAAUGUGUUCAGUAUUGAAUAACGCACUCACUGCAUUAACUACUUUGCCUAGCUUAGUAUAGUAUUCUGGAUCUUGAGGCAGGGUAGAAGUGGGGGUGUGGGACAAUGUACUCACAGCUUGUUGUCAUUUAGCAGCAAUAUCUUGUUUCGGUAACCUGUGGCAAUAUCUUGUUUGGUUACCUGGAUUUGCUAGUGCCCAGGCAAGAUGAUGUUUUCGUUGACGCCAUAAUAAUAAAUAGCAAUCGAUUUUAUUUGCAAGGACG
rnacentral:lncRNA from 1 species